UCUGGAAAGAUCACGUGUAGAGUUUUUACUUUAUAUGAUGUUAUCUGGUCUUCAGGUACGAGAGCAUGCUGCAUAUUUUCUGGAGGAGAUUAAUAUUUGCUGCAGAUUUUCGUGAUAGAUCCUAUUCAGAGGCAAACUCAAUCCAAAAGAGAAGAAACCGGAGGUAAAUCAAGUUCAACUCAGUCCAUUGCAAAGGUGCAUGCAGCCGUUCUUGGCUUGGUAGCUUCAGUUUUGUCUGUUCCUUAUGACAUACCCAGCUGGUUGCCGGAUCAUGUGACGUUACUGGCUCAUUUUGCUGGUGAACGUAUAAAAUCGAGUGUGACUAAAGCAGUAGCUGAGUUCCGGCGAACAUCCAGGAAGACUCUUCCACUGAAAAACAGCUUGAGGUAAUGAGUUUGGAAUUUACAUAUUAAUGCAUAUAUAAGGAAAUUUCUAAAUAUAUACGUCUUUAUCAAACAAGUUGGGAAUACAAAUAUACAAUAAUAGGAAUCACAACUUUGUAACUCCA